rnacentral:rRNA from 1 species
AUGCCGGAGAACCCUGUCUUCAAGGAUUCGUUUAAUGUGGUCCAUAUUGAUGAAAAGUGGUUUUAUCGUACAAGGAAAACCCAGGGGGUUUAUUUGGGCAUUAACGAGCCGAACCCCGUGAGGCACGCCAAAAACAAGGGACACAUUGAGAAGAUCAUGUUUCUUGCUGCUGUUGCUAGGCCAAGAUAUGAUAUGCAAGGCAAUUGUACUUUUGAUGGUAAAAUUGGAAUUUGGCCCUAUGUUGAGUGGAAACCGGCACAGAGGAGAAGCCCAAACAGGCCUAGAGGAACGUUGGAGCUCAAGCCAUGCGAUAAAGUCGGCAUGGAGAAGAGCCGGGAAUACUUGAUCACGAAGGUGUUGCCGGCAAUCAAGGAGAAGUGGCCGCAAGAGGAUCGGUACAAGCCUAUUUUCAUCCAACAGGACAAUGCCAAGACACAUGUUCGACCAGAUGAUCCGGCGGUGUGUGCGGCAGCUGCUCAAGGUGGUUGGGACAUUAGGGUUGUGAUGUAG